CUUUUGUUAUUAAUUCAAUUUUCAUGUCUGUCUAAGGACAUAACAGCAACUGCAUGCUCAUGAUUGGAAGUGACAUUGGCUAGUUGGCAAAGUUGCCCUAGCUGUUUUUGGUUUACUGCACUAGGCUGCUUGUGUUAAUUGGUAAAGUUUUAUUAUGUGAGGCCAAUAGGCCAUUCACACGUUUCCAUUUGCUAUGUCAGCCUGAAGGAUCCAACCAUAGCUAUCACAAUAACAUGCUUUUUCAAAAUUCAACUAUAUUUUGUGACUAUACAAAGAGUUAAGUAUGUUCUCUGCUCGGCUUGUGAUCAGGGCAUGAAUGUUCAUCAAAUCAAUAUUUUUUUGUCAGAUGUUGUAGUUGUGACUGCCCUGGUAGUUGUGUAUGGAAAAUGUUGAAGCUCAGAUAAAGUGUAUGAACUGUUUGACUGAAUGCCUUAAAUAAAUGUUGUCUCAAUACAUUUUUAGCAAGUGCAAAUUGGCAGGCAUUAAGCUUAAUUUCAAAGAUCUUAGCAAACCGGAUUGAUUUAUCCAGUUCACUGUGCCCUGAGGCAAGGAGGAUGUUGGCAAAGGUUGUGCAAUUUGGCUUUACAACUACCGACAGGAGCUCGCUAGAUACCCUGCUUUGACUACAGAAAUCUUUCUAGUCCAAGAUUUAGAAACAGAGUAUAUAUAUUGUGAUCCUUGUCUUGUACAAUUUCGGCAUUUGGAUCCUUUGUUUGAAAAUUUGUUCAAAGCAUGAAAUCUUUAGAGGGUGACUUAUUUUUAAUUGAGGUUUGAGUGGAUUCAAAGAGCUGGAGAAUUCUUUCCUCGCCACAUAAAGUUGGAAUAGUUCUAUGAUUUAUUCCAUUCAAUUAGCUUUUAAUACCAGACAAGUUUUAUGUGGAUUUGAAUUUUGGGUUUUACCAUAACUUUAUGUUUUAUUUUUUUAUAUCAUACCAUUCAAGUACGCUAAAACAACUUAAUAUCAUAUGUGGUGAAGCUCAACAGAGAGCUAAAGCGGGGAGGGUUUUUCGAUAUUAUGGCCACAAUCUCAAGGGAUCUAUACUUUAUAUAAUUCCAUAUCAG